rnacentral:lncRNA from 10 species
AGAGGUCAGGGCCCUCAGCAAACAGCGACAGGCUACAGGCUCGUUCUCCGGGCCUGGAGGAGGCUCGGUGCCCAGCGUCUCCGGAGGACUGGCUCUUCCCUCCGCCUGGGGAGUUUGCGGGCCCCAGACACAAUCCCCAGGGAGGGGCUCGGCUCUGGACAGCCUUGGCCUCUUUCCCCAGAUUUCCCCAGCACUCACACUCUCGGGAGGCUCAGGGUCUGUACUGAGAAGGGCCCUUGCUCGGCGUGGUGCUCUGCUGUGGCUGUUUUGAAAUUCGUAAUACUUUUUGGACAAGAGGCCCCACAUUUUCAUUUUGCACAAAUUGUGCAGCCGGUCCUGAAUCAUUGCUGGCUUUCCAAGGUCACAGCCAGCAAAUGGAACUAACUCCAGGGCUCCUGGUCAUCUGUGCCCCCACAGAUACCUUCUGGGGGUCUCUGAGGUCAGGCGCCCUCACCCUCCUCCUUCCCUGGAACACGGGCGACCACUGCCCACUUUGCCGCUGCGGCACCCUGAGCGCCGUGGCCCGUGCAGACCACCAGAGGAAGGAUCCCGGGAGCCAGGACAGGGCAAGGAGGUUACUUGUUGGGGCAGAAACAUGGCUACUGGUCCCCUAGGGCAGAGAAGACUGCAGGAAGUGGGGAAACCUGCCAGACAGCCACCCUGGGAGAGGAGGAAGACCUGUCAUCCAGUAGCAAAAAAUGCAAGUUCCGUGGUGGUCUAGCGGUUACAGGGAGGGAAAAAAAUGCAAACACUUAGCGAGCACUGCCAAGGCGACCGGCAUGUUCUGAGUUCAUUCUCUGCAUUUACCCCUUUAUCUCCACCGGGUCACUUCCGUUUUACAGAAUAGAAAACCAAGGGCCGGGUGCGGUGGCGCACACUUAUAAUCCCAGCACUUUGGGAGGCCGAGGAGGGCGCAUUGUGAGGUAAGGAGUUCGAGACCAGCCUGGCCAACAUAGUGAAACCCCGUCUCUACUAAAAAUACAAAAAUUAGCCAGGCGUGAUG